UACGUAGGGUGCAAGCGUUGUCCGGAAUUAUUGGGCGUAAAGAGCUCGUAGGCGGUUUGUCGCGUCUGCUGUGAAAAACCCGAGGCUCAACCUCGGGUCUGCAGUGGGUACGGGCAGACUGGAGUGCGGUAGGGGGAGAAUGGAAUUCCUGGUGUAGCGGUGGAAUGCGCAGAUAUCAGGAGGAACACCGAUGGCGAAGGCAGUUCUCUGGGCCGUAACUGACGCUGAGGAGCGAAAGCGUGGGGGAGCGAACAGG
rnacentral:rRNA from 1 species